rnacentral:lncRNA from 1 species
GUGCUGGAAACGCUGGGAGGCAGGAAGUUUGAAAAAACGGCAACUGCCGCCCGCAAUGUCUCGGUCGUGGGUUCGUUAUCCAGUUGUGCGUCAUUCUAAGCCGUUCUGCACAUUUAUACUGGAUAUUAACUGGAGACAUUUAGCUGUGCUGAUGCUGUUUGCCGUGUGUUUUGCAUCAGUGCUUCGUUACAUCGGCUGUAUUGCGUGUUUUCGCCGACGGCUUACUACCACAAUGGCGGGAUCUGCGUUCGCUGCCUUCGUGUCUCGGUGCGUCUUUGUACGUCGCACGUUCGGAUAACACUUUUUCCGACGGCUGGACAUCCUUCUUGUACCUUGGCGCUAGCUGGAUGACGGGACCUCAUCAUGAUCAGUGUAUUGCUUGCCUAUGUCUACAAGAACCGUCACGCGUCGCCUGUGACAGCAAGCUUUGGUGGGCAGCAAGUGCUCUCCUACGAAGGCUGGCCUACUCUGGCAGCGGCGGCAAUCAUCUUCAAGAUUUAUCCGUGAUCACCUUUGCUGCUAUUUGUCACUCUUGUUAAUUACACUUUCUGCAUCUUUUGUAAUUUAUUAGGUAAUAAA